CUAAGGCUCCAGAGGAAGCCACGGCUAACUCUGUGCCAGCAGCCGCGGUAAUACAGAGGCGGCAAGCGCUGUUCGGAAUUAUUGGGCGUAAAGAGCACGUAGGCGGCCUUGCAAGUCAGUUGUGAAAGCCUUCCGCUUAACGGAAGAAUGCCAGCUGAUACUACAGGGCUUGAGUACGGGAGGGGAGAGUGGAACUUCUGGUGGAGCGGUGAAAUGCGUAGAUAUCAGAAGGAACGCCGGCGGCGAAAGCGACUCUCUGGCCCGAAACUGUCGCUGAGUGUGCGAAAGCUAGGGGAGCAAACGGGAUUAGAUACCCCGGUAGUCCUAGCCGUAAA
rnacentral:rRNA from 1 species